ACAACGAAGAGUUUGAUCCUGGCUCAGGAUGAACGCUAGCGACAGGCUUAACACAUGCAAGUCGAGGGGCAGCACAGGUAGCAAUACCGGGUGGCGACCGGCGCACGGGUGAGUAACGCGUAUGCAACUUACCUAUCAGAGGGGGAUAACCCGGCGAAAGUCGGACUAAUACCGCAUGAAGCAGGGGUCCCGCAUGGGGAUAUUUGCUAAAGAUUCAUCGCUGAUAGAUAGGCAUGCGUUCCAUUAGGCAGUUGGCGGGGUAACGGCCCACCAAACCGACGAUGGAUAGGGGUUCUGAGAGGAAGGUCCCCCACAUUGGUACUGAGACACGGACCAAACUCCUACGGGAGGCAGCAGUGAGGAAUAUUGGUCAAUGGCCGAGAGGCUGAACCAGCCAAGUCGCGUGAGGGAUGAAGGUUCUAUGGAUCGUAAACCUCUUUUAUAAGGGAAUAAAGUGCGGGACGUGUCCCGUUUUGUAUGUACCUUAUGAAUAAGGAUCGGCUAACUCCGUGCCAGCAGCCGCGGUAAUACGGAGGAUCCGAGCGUUAUCCGGAUUUAUUGGGUUUAAAGGGUGCGUAGGCGGCCUUUUAAGUCAGCGGUGAAAGUCUGUGGCUCAACCAUAGAAUUGCCGUUGAAACUGGGGGGCUUGAGUAUGUUUGAGGCAGGCGGAAUGCGUGGUGUAGCGGUGAAAUGCAUAGAUAUCACGCAGAACCCCGAUUGCGAAGGCAGCCUGCCAAGCCAUUACUGACGCUGAUGCACGAAAGCGUGGGGAUCAAACAGGAUUAGAUACCCUGGUAGUCCACGCAGUAAACGAUGAUCACUAGCUGUUUGCGAUACACUGUAAGCGGCACAGCGAAAGCGUUAAGUGAUCCACCUGGGGAGUACGCCGGCAACGGUGAAACUCAAAGGAAUUGACGGGGGCCCGCACAAGCGGAGGAACAUGUGGUUUAAUUCGAUGAUACGCGAGGAACCUUACCCGGGUUUGAACGCAUUCGGACCGAGGUGGAAACACCUUUUCUAGCAAUAGCCGUUUGCGAGGUGCUGCAUGGUUGUCGUCAGCUCGUGCCGUGAGGUGUCGGCUUAAGUGCCAUAACGAGCGCAACCCUUGCCACUAGUUACUAACAGGUAAAGCUGAGGACUCUGGUGGGACUGCCAGCGUAAGCUGCGAGGAAGGCGGGGAUGACGUCAAAUCAGCACGGCCCUUACAUCCGGGGCGACACACGUGUUACAAUGGCGUGGACAAAGGGAAGCCACCUGGCGACAGGGAGCGAAUCCCCAAACCACGUCUCAGUUCGGAUCGGAGUCUGCAACCCGACUCCGUGAAGCUGGAUUCGCUAGUAAUCGCGCAUCAGCCAUGGCGCGGUGAAUACGUUCCCGGGCCUUGUACACACCGCCCGUCAAGCCAUGGGAGCCGGGGGUACCUGAAGUCCGUAACCGCGAGGAUCGGCCUAGGGUAAAACUGGUGACUGGGGCUAAGUCGUAACAAGGUAGCCGUACCGGAAGGUGCGGCUGGAACACCUCCUUU
rnacentral:rRNA from 1 species